UGCAGCUCUCGACUCAGAAAUCUACCGAAGCCUACAGGCCAUUCUGAGAGAGCUGGACACUUCACAACCUGUGGUCAAUAAAGGAAUGCUGAGGUGGACGUUGCAUAAGAAGGUGCAGUGUGAUCCGCAGAAGAGCCUGGCUUUGGUCCGAGUGACCGUCAAAGAGCUAGAGAGAGCUGAGAGAGUGGACCUGAAAACACACAUCAUCCCGCUGUUACACACUCUCAUGUACGCCGUCAUACAGGUAGUGUAGUAAUAGUUGAUGAUAUAGUGUAUUAACAUUAAACAUGCAUAUUAUAAUGCACGUGUGUGUGUGUGUGUGUGUGUGUGUGUUUGUGUGU
ensembl:lncRNA